CCUAACUUAGCGGCGGACGGGUGAGUAAUACUUAGGAAUCUGCCUAUUAGUGGGGGACAACAUUCCGAAAGGGAUGCUAAUACCGCAUACGUCCUACGGGAGAAAGCAGGGGACCUUCGGGCCUUGCGCUAAUAGAUGAGCCUAAGUCGGAUUAGCUAGUUGGUGGGGUAAAGGCCUACCAAGGCGACGAUCUGUAGCGGGUCUGAGAGGAUGAUCCGCCACACUGGGACUGAGACACGGCCCAGACUCCUACGGGAGGCAGCAGUGGGGAAUAUUGGACAAUGGGGGGAACCCUGAUCCAGCCAUGCCGCGUGUGUGAAGAAGGCCUUAUGGUUGUAAAGCACUUUAAGCGAGGAGGAGGCUACCUAGAUUAAUACUCUAGGAUAGUGGACGUUACUCGCAGAAUAAGCACCGGCUAACUCUGUGCCAGCAGCCGCGGUAAUACAGAGGGUGCGAGCGUUAAUCGGAUUUACUGGGCGUAAAGCGUGCGUAGGUGGUCUUUUAAGCCGGAUGUGAAAUCCCUGAGCUUAACUUAGGA
rnacentral:rRNA from 1 species